rnacentral:rRNA from 1 species
GUCUAUGGCCAUGCCACCUUGAACGUGCCUGAUCUUGUCUGAUCUCGGAAGCUAAGCAGGGUUGGGCCUGGUUGGUACUUGGAUGGGAGACAACUUAGGAAGACCAGGCGCUAUAGGUG